UGAAGAUGCGUUUCUCCAGCCCCAGCAGGAUGGUUUGCCAUGGCUCCAGGUUGGGCUCCUCCUGCUCAGGAGCACGAUCUCCAUCCCAAAUGUGCAGAGCCAGCGGAAUCAUAGAAGUUUUCUAUGGGCAGCCUUUGGACAUGCUCAGCUGCCACAGUUGCCCAUCAGCACCAACAUCACCCAGCCAUCACCAUCCCGGUGCCCUGAGCGCCUGUGCAAGCACAGAUGCCCUUGUGCUCGUGCGGACACGCACAGAGGCCAGAGGCAAGGCAAGAAGAAUCCAACAUCUCACUUGGGAAAGAAAACCUUGCCUGUAGCCAAAAUCCUCAUCUGGGCCUACGUCUUCCAGCACAUUUCCCAGUCCUGAUGAAGGUGCUGUUCUCCUGAAGCCUUUCAGCAGGUGCUGCCUUUGCUCAGGAGCUUGCAAUUGAGCCUGGGGAUUCAGUUAGCUGGAGGACAGCAGGGUUUCUGGAAAUAUCAUCAGAGCACCCAGCAAUCAAUGUUUUCCCAGGGCUACUGUCUUAUUAUGUGUAAAGAGAUGCAACCUAAAUGCAGAUGGAAUGUCAGCAUUAAAUAAGGGAAUUAGAUGCUAGGUUCAGAAUGGGUGAGGGGAUAACUGUAACAAUACAGUCUCACUCCUCCAAGUAAAUGUCUCUCUUUCAGGAGGCAGAGCCUUCUAUUUACUUAUUUAUUCUGGGGGGCAAAAUUUGCCAUUUUACAACUUUGUGGAUUUGUGCAUUAGUAGCAAUACACCAGUAAUCAGGGUGGUAGCAUCAUUCCAGGUCAUUUGUCUUCAAACACAAGACCAACAGUAAAUAUAGAUCUUUAGUUAAACCCCCCCUCCCCAAACACCAUGUUACAAACCUAAUCUACAGGAAACA